rnacentral:tRNA from 1 species
AAAAUUUUAGUUUAGGAAAAAAUUAUUUAUUUACAAUAAAUAGAUUAAUAUUAAUUAUUAAAAUUUUA